AUGAUACGAUGCAAAUAUUUUAUUUUGUCCAUAAUACUCAUUGAAACGUGUAUUCACUCAACAUUAAUUUUCACUUCAAAGAAAAACAAGGAACCUAACAUAACUGCAACAUGGUAUAGGGAGUUACACCACUAAGGUCUUAAUCAUCUGCAAACUCCUGAGCUACCUGAACCAUGCAUCAUCGGAUAAAGGCUUUCAUCAACUAAGAUUGACAUUGGCCAUGGUUUACUUAUAGAAAAGGAUCUAUGAUAGGAAAGAAAAACAAUGCACAUGUGGAACAUAAGUAGAGAAAGCGCGUUUGAAUCCCAUCUGAAUUACUGCCAUAACAGAUUUCACUGAUAAGAAGUAUCCUGCGGCAUCAACCACUCUUUUGAGGCAGUCUCUGUCAAACAGAAUAAAGAAAAUGAACAAGCCUAAAAAUUGGGAAUACCAUGUAUGCAUUUUUGUUUUUAAAUUUCGUUAUAUAAAUUUAAUUCCAAACUUUGUUCUAGUGAUAUUAGAUUUGUGGUAGUAUUUUAUUAUAUUUGAUGUUUCAGUGUGUAGGCCGUCUUAAAGUUAGGCUCAGAAAAGUUAUGCUUUUUUUUUUAUGUUGUAGAACUGAUUUUUUUUUAAACCCAAAAAAAAUAUUUGAUGAAAAACUUAGAAGCGAUUAAUGAGAUUCAGAUUUUUUAAUAUUUAAAAACUGGGGGAAAAGAGACAUAAUCACCCUUUUCCCUCCUUACUUUUCCCCAGUUUUUAAAUAUUCAAAAAUCUGUAUCUCUCUCAUUAAACUGCUUCCAAGUUUUUUGUCAAAUAUACUUUGAGGCUUAGAAAGAUUAGUUCUACAACAUAUCAACAAAUUUAUGUCCUCCAGAGCUUGGCUUUAUUAAAUAGAAAUGCUACUUCCACAUCAAUAAUUAUAUCCACCCUUGUCAUAUUUUCUUAAAAUAUUAUUUAAAUAUUUUUGUCUUGCCAUAUUAUUGUAUAUACAUGAAAUCAAUAUUUUCUUAUUUAUGUGAGUAGCAAUUAUUCCAGUACUGUAUCUUAUUUUGUAGCUCUCUGUUUAGUACCUGAGUAUAUUUUUUCUUUAAAGUUUAAACAUAGGGGCCAAUCACAAUUGUAAACAUAGUGUAUUAAAAGUGUACUCUUUUUUGCCACCUCAACCCCUUUAAAAAGUGUACAUUCAUGGAAAAUGUUGAUUUUGCAAUACUGUUCUCUAUGGCCCUUUUUUCAAUGGGUACAUGAUACAUAAUUAGGUUUAAAUAUAUCCAUAUUGACAUGUUAUUAAAUUUAGAAAACCGAUUUCAAUCAAUAUUUUAAGCUUUUGUAAAUUCCUUUCAUUUAAUUUUGUAUUUAGUACCAGGCCCUUUCCCUCUUAGGAAAGUUUAUACAUUUGUUGAUAAUUAUGAAUGGUCCAUACAGUGCAGGGUUAUCCACCUUAUGUUUUGGAAUUUCUUUUUUGAGUCUUUCACAUCUAUUAAAUUUGUGUAAAGUUAAAUCUAAUACUGUACUUUAAUAGUAUAUAAAAAUAUAUAAAACUUUUUCUUUCAUCUACCCUUAUCAAUAUCGCUUACAGUACCUUGAUGUUAUUUAAUAUAUUUAUAAUAAUUUAUAUAGGCCUGCAAUUUACUGUAAAUACAGCUAUUAUACAGUAUACAGUACUGUAAAAUUAUUUUUAUAAAUCUUUAUAUGUUUGCACAAUACCACUAGUGCUACAUCGUGUGACUUCAUAAUGCUAGUAAAAUUCAAUGCAGUUUAUUCUUUUAAGAUAUUGAAUCCAUUUUUUUUUCUACUUUUAGAUGAUGCAAUUUAAACAUUAUUUUAGUAUGGUUGUUUGACCUGUUAUAUAUAUGUUUAAUAUGUCACUAAAUAAAGAUCUUGAGAAUGAAUACAUUUUGUUGAGAUUUCUGUACAGUGGGUUCAAACAUUUCCAGCCAUGAACUACCAAAACACAUUUGUACAUUACAAUCAUCUUGUAGGCCUAUGAUUUUUUUAUUUUUACACUUUUUUUUUUUGAUUCGUGAAAACAGUUUUUUAGUGAUCGAAUGAUAUAAAAAAAGUUAUAUCAGCGUUAUUUUCUAGAGAAGUGCUGUGAAUUUCUAUGAAAAUUAAUUUUAUCAGCGUUAUUUUCUAUAGAAAUGCUGUUUUUUUUUC